rnacentral:rRNA from 1 species
UACGAAGGGGGCUAGCGUUGUUCGGAAUUACUGGGCGUAAAGCGCGCGCAGGCGGUCCUUUAAGUCAGGGGUGAAAGCCCAGAGCUCAACUCUGGAAUUGCCCUUGAAACUAGAGGACUUGGGUACGGGAGAGGUGAGUGGAAUUCCGAGUGUAGAGGUGAAAUUCGUAGAUAUUGGGAAGAACACCGGUGGCGAAGGCGGCGACCUGGUCCAUUACUGACGCUGAUGCGCGAAAGCCAGGGGAGCGAACGGG